rnacentral:rRNA from 1 species
UACGAAGGGGGCUAGCGUUGCUCGGAAUUACUGGGCGUAAAGCGCACGUAGGCGGCUCUUUAAGUCGGGGGUGAAAUCCUGGAGCUCAACUCCAGAACUGCCUUCGAUACUGGAGAGCUCGAGUCCGGGAGAGGUGAGUGGAACUGCGAGUGUAGAGGUGAAAUUCGUAGAUAUUCGCAAGAACACCAGUGGCGAAGGCGGCUCACUGGCCCGGUACUGACGCUGAGGUGCGAAAGCGUGGGAGCGAACGAGGAU